UCCUUAGAUGUUCUGGGCCGCACGCGUACUACACUGAUGCAAGCAAUAAGUUUCUACUCCGAAAGGAAAUAGGUAAUCUUUUUAAACUGCAUCGUGCUUGGGAUAGACUUUUGCAAUUAUAGGUCUUGAACGAGGAAUUCCUAGUAAGCAUGGGUCAUCAGCCCAUGUUGAUUACGUCCCUGCCCUUUGUACACACCGCCCGUCGCUCCUACCGAUUGGAUGAUCCGGUGAGCUAUUCGGACCUUCGCUUCGUCGAUUUUCGGCUUUGUGAGGGAAAGUCUCGCGAACCUUAUCAUCUAGAGGAAGGAGAAGUCGUAACA
rnacentral:rRNA from 1 species